rnacentral:misc_RNA from 1 species
UUAACUUAUUAAUUUUUACUCAGAGAUGCCACUAUAAUACAGGAGAGUUUCGUACCUCCGGCGGGCGCCCAACACCUCCGGAGAGGCGGGGCUGCGGCGCCCUGUGAGGGGCUCCGCGCCGCCGAAGCAACUUGGAUAGGUUCGCAAUGGUUUUAAGUAGCCUUUCGGCUUCUUGUAAUGAUCCCUCCGCUGGUUCACCAACGGAGA